rnacentral:rRNA from 1 species
GGACACGUGGUAUCCUGUCUGAAUAUGGGGGGACCAUCCUCCAAGGCUAAAUACUCCUGACUGACCGAUAGUGAACCAGUACCGUGAGGGAAAGGCGAAAAGAACCCCGGCGAGGGGAGUGAAAAAGAACCUGAAACCGUGUACGUACAAGCAGUGGGAGCACGCUUAGGCGUGUGACUGCGUACCUUUUGUAUAAUGGGUCAGCGACUUAUAUUCUGUAGCAAGGUUAACCGAAUAGGGGAGCCGAAGGGAAACCGAGUCUUAACUGGGCGUUAAGUUGCAGGGUAUAGACCCGAAACCCGGUGAUCUAGCCAUGGGCAGGUUGAAGGUUGGGUAACACUAACUGGAGGACCGAACCGACUAAUGUUGAAAAAUUAGCGGAUGACUUGUGGCUGGGGGUGAAAGGCCAAUCAAACCGGGAGAUAGCUGGUUCUCCCCGAAAGCUAUUUAGGUAGCGCCUCGUGAAUUCAUCUCCGGGGGUAGAGCACUGUUUCGGCA